rnacentral:lncRNA from 1 species
UUCUCUCUUUCUUUCUUUUUCCAUCCCUCUCACGUAUCGUGUGCUAAUAGUCGUUUCGCAAGGAUCCAACAACGAUCGGGCGGGGCGCUCUUGGUGAAAGAAGGGGCCUCCGAAGGGCGGCAACAAAAACAGGCCGUUCUCGUACGAGGGUGAGGAUGGACGGAGUGAGAGAUAUGUAGAGAGAUAGGGAAAGAGUGAGAGGAAGGGCAAAGGGUGAAGUGCGAAGUGAGGUGCCUAGGUGGUAGUGGUGUUGGUGGUGGUGUUGGUGGUGGAGGAGGAGGAGGAGGAGGAAGAGAAAUAGAAAGAAAGAGGGAGGGAGAGAGAGAGAAAGAGAACUAGAGAAGAAGGGGGCUGCGGGGCUCGGAGGGGGGCUAAGAGCAGCCGCGAGGGGGCGCAAGGCAGACGCAGCGAGAGAGGAUAUUGACAUUUUCGGCCGUGGGGACGCGCAUUCGUGAGGGUGGCCAAGAGGGGUACGGGAUAGUCGGCUCUCCGUCCGAUCCUGCAGUAUCCAUGGCUACGCCGUCGGCGAGGAUUUGGCGCAAAACACCGGAAAUACCGUGUGCAUGACUACGUUUACGACGGUGGAGCGCCGCGUACAAAGAGAAAAUCACCGAGGGCGAUUUUUGACGGCAUCGACCACUUCGGAGAUCGUCAUUCGCCAAUCGACGUGAUCAUGCCACGAAGAAGCUGAUGAAUUUAGACGAUCGCAAUGAUGUGACAAUAAAGAUACCUCUUUCUAAUCUCGAUUAUUUCGGGGAAUUGUCCCUGUUAUACAGUGCUUCCCAAACCUCUAUACCAUAAAGAGAACACGAAGAUCGCUAAAACCUCCGGAAAUGGUAUUUCGAAACUGGUGCCAAAAGUCGACAGACAAGCCAAGUGAAGUUCGCAUAGUGUGUCAAAAAGUAAUACAAAAGAGAGACCUAUAACGAAAUACAAAGAAAUUACAAGAA